rnacentral:rRNA from 1 species
GAUGAACGCUGGCGGCGUGCUUAAUACAUGCAAGUCGAGCGAACAGAUCAGGAGCUUGCUCCUCUGACGUUAGCGGCGGACGGGUGAGUAACACGUGGAUAACCUACCUAUAAGACUGGGAUAACUUCGGGAAACCGGAGCUAAUACCGGAUAAUCUAUUGAACCGCAUGGUUCAAUAGUGAAAGACGGUUUUGCUGUCACUUAUAGAUGGAUCCGCGCCGCAUUAGCUAGUUGGUAAGGUAACGGCUUACCAAGGCAACGAUGCGUAGCCGACGUGAGAGGGUGAUCGGCCACACUGGAACUGAGACACGGUCCAGACUCCUACGGGAGGCAGCAGUAGGGAAUCUUACGCAAUGGGCGAAAGCCUGACGGAGCAACGCCGCGUGAGUGAUGAAGGUCUUCGGAUCGUAAAACUCUGUUAUUAGGGAAGAACAAAUGUGUAAGUAACUAUGCACGUCUUGACGGUACCUAGUCAGAAAGCCACGGCUAACUACGUG